AUUGAACGCUGGCGGCAGGCCUAACACAUGCAAGUCGAGCGCGAAAAUUUCUUCGGGAAUGAGUAGAGCGGCGGACGGGUGAGUAACGCGUAGGAAUCUGCCCGGUAGUGGGGGACAACAGUCGGAAACGACUGCUAAUACCGCAUACGCCCUAAGGGGGAAAGCAGGGGAUCUUCGGACCUUGCGCUAUCGGAUGAGCCUGCGUCGGAUUAGCUUGUUGGUGGGGUAAUGGCCUACCAAGGCGACGAUCCGUAGCUGGUCUGAGAGGAUGAUCAGCCACACUGGGACUGAGACACGGCCCAGACUCCUACGGGAGGCAGCAGUGGGGAAUAUUGGACAAUGGGGGAAACCCUGAUCCAGCCAUGCCGCGUGUGUGAAGAAGGCCUCGGUUGUAAGUAC
rnacentral:rRNA from 1 species